rnacentral:misc_RNA from 1 species
GAUGAAGAACGUAGCGAAAUGCGAUAAGUAAUGUGAAUUGCAGAAUUCAGUGAAUCAUCGAAUCUUUGAACGCACAUUGCGCCCGUCAGUAUUCUGGCGGGCAUGCCUGUUCGAGCGUCAUUACGCCCCUCAAGUCCCCUGUGGACUUGGUGUUGGGGAUCGGCGAGGCUGGUUUUCCAGCACAGCCGUCCCUUAAAUUAAUUGGCGGUCUCGCCGUGGCCCUCCUCUGCGCAGUAGUAAAACACUCGCAACAGGAGCCCGGCGCGCUCCACUGCCGUAAAACCCCCCAACUUUUUAUAGUUGACCUCGAAUCAGGUAGGACUACCCGCUGAACUUAAGCAUAUCAAUAAGCGGAGGA